GAUGAAGAACGCAGUGAAAUGCGAUAAGUAGUGUGAAUUGCAGAAUUCAGUGAAUCAUCGAAUCUUUGAACGCACCUUGCACCCUUUGGCAUUCCGAAGGGUAUGCUCGUUUGAGUGUCAUUGUACUCUCACUCUCCCGAUACUUUUGGAUCGGGAGUGGUGGACUUGGGUGCUGCUGCUUAACUGUGGCUCGCCUUAAAUGAAGUAGUGCAACUCUCGGUUGGACAUAGUACGGCGUGAUAAGUGUCUUCGCCGGCGCCUCAUUCGAGGGUGGCCGAUCGGGAGCUCUGUGCUUCAAACUGUCUUCGGACAACAUCUGACAACUUGACCUCAAAUCGAGUAGGACUACCCGCUGAACUUAAGCAUAUCAAUAAGCGGAGGA
rnacentral:misc_RNA from 1 species